GAUUUUCAGGCAUGGCCAUGCUUCAUAUCUGGGGAGAGAUUAUAAGCAUACUGUUAAUAUGGCAGAAGCAAAUCUGCCUCCUGGACCAUCUCAUCCUGUGAGAACUUAGCCAUGAUUUUUUGUCUUACUGGUCUACUAUGUAGUUUAUGCAUGUAGUAUAUGAUUUUCCAAUNNNNNNNNNNNNGAUUUUAAUGUGACUGUCGGAUUCAGAAUAGUGUUGAAAACUGCUAAAACCUUUAAUGCAU
rnacentral:misc_RNA from 1 species